rnacentral:rRNA from 1 species
AGAGUUUGAUCAUGGCUCAGGAUGAACGCUAGCGGCAGGCCUAAUACAUGCAAGUCGAGGGGUAGAGGAGAGCUUGCUUUCCUUGAGACCGGCGCACGGGUGCGUAACGCGUAUGCAACCUACCUUUAUCAGGGGGAUCGCCCGAAGAAAUUCGGAUUAACACCGCAUAAAAUCACAGUAUCGCAUGAUACAAUGAUCAAAUAUUUAUAGGAUAAAGAUGGGCAUGCGUGUCAUUAGUUAGUUGGCGGGGUAACGGCCCACCAAGACCACGAUGACUAGGGGAUCUGAGAGGAUGACCCCCCACACUGGUACUGAGACACGGACCAGACUCCUACGGGAGGCAGCAGUAAGGAAUAUUGGUCAAUGGAGGCAACUCUGAACCAGCCAUGCCGCGUGCAGGAAGACGGCCCUCUGGGUUGUAAACUGCUUUUAUUCGGGAAUAAACCUAUCUACGUGUAGAUAGCUGAAUGUACCGAAGGAAUAAGGAUCGGCUAACUCCGUGCCAGCAGCCGCGGUAAUACGGAGGAUCCAAGCGUUAUCCGGAUUUAUUGGGUCUUAAAGGGUGCGUAGGCGGGCCUAUUAAGUCAGGGGUGAAAGACGGUAGCUCAACUAUCGCAGUGCCCUUGAUACUGAUGGGCUUGAAUGAACUAGAGGUAGGCGGAAUGUGACAAGUAGCGGUGAAAUGCAUAGAUAUGUCACAGAACACCGAUUGCGAAGGCAGCUUACUAUGGUUUUAUUGACGCUGAGGCACGAAAGCGUGGGGAUCAAACAGGAUUAGAUACCCUGGUAGUCCACGCCCUAAACGAUGAAUACUCGCUGUUGGCGAUACACAGUCAGCGGCUAAGCGAAAGCGUUAGUAUUCACCUGGGGAGUACGCUCGCAAGAGUGAAACUCAAGGUAUUGACGGCGGCCCGCA